GGCACAUUCAGGCAACAAAGUAGUGUUUGGGAACUUGAACUAUGAAAUUUCUCAACUCUAUUCUAUAUAAAGGCUUUUGCAGCUGAGUCUCUAAAACAUCAUUCACUAAACUUUCAUCCAGGAUAUUUUACAAAAUGCUAGUUAACUAUAGUAUAGCAUUCCAAAGUAGAUCUCCAUUAUUUACAAAAUCUUAGUUAAUAUUAGCCAAAAUACUUCAUAGUGCAAAGCUAAGUUAGAUCUCCAUAAUUUGAGUCGUUUGUUCCUUGUUUUCCCUUGGGGUCUGAGCACUGGCCACUUCCGUUUAUGCUCCUCUUGUCCGCAACCAAUAAUGGGAUAUGUACCACAAAAGAGUUUCAUGAGAACAGGCAAGUAGGUAGGUAGAUCUUAAGA
rnacentral:lncRNA from 1 species